rnacentral:lncRNA from 1 species
GGGGAUUCUUACAGGAUUUGUGGGGAGUUUUCAGUUUGGUUUGAUUUGUGGUAGUGGUGCCUCAGUUGAUGAUGUUGUUUUUCUAGGGUUGAUUUUUGGGGAAGGGAACCUGUAGCAUACGCUAGUUCACUGUCUUAAUAGGAUCCAAAGCCCCAGUGUAUCUUGUCUUUUUAUUUUCAGUCUAUGUGAUGCUUUAGUUGUCUGUCCUGUAAAUAGAGAUUUACAAUUAAACCCAGUCUGUUAAGUUCUGUUUGGUGGUAGUGGUUUUGUCGUUAACAUCCAAUCUGAAAACUAAUGCCUAUUAAGUGGUCACAUUUUUCAUGCUGAUUUUUUUUCCCUCCCUUCCUGCUGAUGGGUUGGUUGAAAUCUUUUAAUUUUUUUCUUUCCUUGUCUGGUUUAGAUGUUCUACAUUCUAGUUCUGAAUUUUCAGUGGCUUUCUCAAUGUUUUUAAGAUGAAUGCCUGACUUUCUCAAAUGAGUAUUUCUACCAUCGUCCUAUGGAAAGACUAGGUUACAGUCAUCACCCCAUCCCCAUCUUAUAUGUUACAGUUCAGUAUUUUCAUUCCAUCUCUUUAUUCUCUCCCCAAGUAGCACUCCCUGGGAACUUCCUAGGCCAGGUUCCAUUGGAGGAUUUGUGUGGGAGAAACCAGCAGCGACCAGAUCUGCCAUCUCCCUCCCCGCCUUAACUGGCGUUUUCCUUUGAGAAACCACCUCUGUCACAUCCCUGGGCUGGUCAGAUUGUGUCCCCCUCCUGUGCUCCUGGAACCUCUCCGCAUGCCUAUGUUGAUGUUUGUCAGGCUCUGUGUUCAUCAUGGGCACACUUCAAAGGGCAUCCCAGUUCCUGUGGUGGAGACUAGGGAUAGGAUGAUGGGUAAGUUGACAUUGGUGGUUUUGAAAUGCUGAAGUUUAUAUUGCUUUCCCAAAUAAGAGUAUGGUAUUUGGUAUUUCCAAAGAGUACCAUGUUUAAAAGUGCCUCGUGCUUUUAAGAGAGAUAGCUUGGGAUUUCUGAGAUAAGAUAGGAAUAAAGUGGUGUGCACUGGUCGCUCCUGAAAACAGCCAUGUUUAUGGUUUCUGUGGUUUCUCUACUGCUGUCCCUUAAUCACUGAUGGAACAUACAGAUUAUGGGUAGCAAGACAGGAACUGUUUUCAUCUGACGCUAUUGAAACUCGUGUGUUUGUUUUAUUUCUACGUAACAGAAUCAGAAUGAGAAACUUCUGAGGCAUUUACUCCCAGAUCAUGUAGCUCACGUAAGAUGUUUUAAUAUCUGUGCUGUGUUAGAGGUAAGAGUGUUGCAAAACAGAAGUUAUGGGUCUAGCCUCAUGAACUUGCAAGCGGCUUGGAGGACACUCCUUGGCAGAUUCGAGACCUCCCUUUACUAAACUUACUUCUUUCACCCUCACUCAGGAUGGGACAUGUGCUGGUUCCUAUUCAUGCGGCAUUGACUGUGCUUCUAGGCCAGAGGUUCUAAAGGGAGGCCCAGGACCAGCGCAUCAGCAUCUCCUGGGAACCUGUUAGAAAGGCAAAUUCUUAUGUCCUCCCCCUUCCCCAGACCUACUGAAUUAGAAACCCAGCAACCUGUCUGAAGAAGCCUCUCGUCUUGAGGUUGGAGACUGCUGCAGAGCGAGCAAGGCUCUGCCGGGCCUGAGUUCUCCUCUGUCACCAUGUGUGUAGAUUAAGUUACUUCAUCUCACUAUGCCUUGGCUCUCGAUCUGUAAAAACAGCCACUGCUGCCCUCCUGCAGCAGGGUUUUGUGCCCAGGGCCCUGGAGGGAGCAUGAGCUCAGUGGUCCUUCCGUCCUCCCUGUCUUGGGAGUGCUAGGCUGUGCACCAGCCCUCCCAAGCCACAUACCCAGCAAAGUGCUCUGUGAACUAGGUACAGUCAACACAUUUGGGGGCAUGUGGCCAACCUCUACUAUUUGGGAACACCAAAGGGAAGAUGAGUGGUCAAAAUUUCUAAAGCCACACCCUGGACUUUAGGACACUCUGUGUCUCCCCAGCUUGGUCACAGGUGGACAUGAUCAUUUUUGUGUUAACAAAAGAUAUGGGAAGAAGGGACAUCAACCCUCCUCCCUUAAAGCCAGCAGGGGUACUGGGGUGGUGCACUCCCACCCACCAGUGGCAGGCAGGGCCCAGCACCACUGCUUGCAUGUGCUGAUGCCAGGCCCAAAACUUCCUUGCCAGAGGACACGACCUCACAGGGCUGCCCAGGGGGUGGGAGCUGUGCACGGGUCCGAGACGUAGCGUGAAGCAGCACACCCAGCAGACAGAGUGCACAGUUAAAUACCAUGUUUAAUCAUCCCA